AAACUGAAAGCUCGUAUCAAAAAACAAGAAGGGCUGGUCUUUGAACUCGAGCAUUGCAUUUCUUGCAUUAAUUAUAAGCAUGUCAACACAAUAUUCAGAAAUCAGGAAUGGUGGAUUAUUGUAUUCUAGACAUAUUAAUACAUGAACAGAACAACCCAUUUAUUCAAAACUGGUGUAGAAAUAUUCCUUGAAAUCGUUUGGGGGAAA